rnacentral:rRNA from 1 species
UACGGAGGGGGCUAGCGUUGUUCGGAAUUACUGGGCGUAAAGGGCUCGUAGGCGGCCAACUAAGUCGGAUGUGAAAUCCCCAGGCUUAACCUGGGAACUGCAUCCGAUACUGGAUGGCUUGAAUCCGGGAGAGGGAUGCAGAAUUCCAGGUGUAGCGGUGAAAUGCGUAGAUAUCUGGAGGAAUACCGGUGGCGAAGGCGGCAUCCUGGACCGGCAUUGACGCUGAGGAGCGAAAGCUAGGGGAGCAAACGGG